GACUAGGAGAAUAUAAAAUUUAUAAGAUUUAUAGUAGCUUUGUGAAUGGAAUGAGCUAUAUUUUAUUGUACAACAAUCCAAAUCCAAAGACCUAGGCUUUACUUUAUCAUUUCUAUUAAGUCUGUGACUUCUAAUGACUUUCAGAUGUUUGUCUCCAUAUUGUAAACAUUCAAUGAUAGUGAUGUCACAGAGGGAGGAUGUACAUUUGUAUUGCCCUGCCUUUACAUCCUUGCUGAAAUUGAUAUCACUGAGCAGGAAGGAUUAUUGCCCUGCCUUGUACAUCCUUGAUAACAUUGACAUUACUUCAGGUAGGAUAUAUUGCCCUGCAUAGUAUAUCCUUGCUGACAGUGAUAUCACUGUGAGGGAGGGUAUAUUGCCCUGUCUUGUACAUCCUUGCUAACAGUGACAUUACUUCUGGUAGGAUAUAUUGCCCUGCAUAGUAUAUCCUUGCUGACUGAUAUCACUGUGAGGGUAUAUUGCCCUGUCUUGUACAUCCUUGAUAACAAUGACAUUACUUCUGGUAGGAUAUAUUGCCCUGCAUAGUAUAUCCUUGCUGACAGUGAUAUCACUGUGAGGGAGGGUAUAUUGCCCUGUCUUGUACAUCCUUGCUAACAGUGACAUUACUUCUGGUAGGAUAUAUUGCCCUGCAUAGUAUAUCCUUGCUGACUGAUAUCACUGUGAGGGUAUAUUGCCCUGUCUUGUACAUCCUUGAUAACAAUGACAUUACUUCUGGUAGGAUAUAUUGCCCUGCAUAGUAUAUCCUUGCUGACAGUGAUAUCACUGUGAGGGAGGGUAUAUUGCCCUGUCUUGUACAUCCUUGCUAACAGUGACAUUACUUCUGGUAGGAUAUAUUGCCCUGCAUAGUAUAUCCUUGCUGACUGAUAUCACUGUGAGGGUAUAUUGCCCUGCCUUGUACAUCCUUGCUAACAGUGACAUUACUUCAGGUAGAAUGUAUUGCCCUGCUUUGUACAUCCUUACAAACAGUGAUAUCACUGAAAGGAUAUUGCAUUGUCAGGGUUUGAUGGAGUUUGUCUUUAUGUUGUUUUACCCUGGAGUUGAUACAUCUGUUACAUUAUUUUUCUCAUGUUGGUCAUAAUGUGUAGAAUUCAAGCAUUCAUUACAUGGGUAUUUUUGGCUCCUUCUUUGAUUUUAUUCAUUGUUAUAUAUAAAAUAUAUGUAAUAAAAUUGUAUUUUAAUUCU
rnacentral:sRNA from 1 species